rnacentral:misc_RNA from 1 species
AAGUCGUAACAAGGUUUCCGUAGGUGAACCUGCGGAAGGAUCAUUCACUAUUUUUGAUAUGAGACGUGAUAGCAGUGGGUGAUUAUACAAUCAUUCAUUAUUAUUUUUAUCUCAUAUUAUAUAUAUUUAUACAAACUAUAGUGUGCGUUGAAACUAUUUUAACAGGAGUGGAUAUAGUUAUGGGAUGUACUCCUGCCGCUAUAUUCAUUCUAAUUUUUUUUCCAUCAUCAUUAAACAACUAGUUAGUUAAAUAAUAUUAUAAUUAUUAUGUUUUAAUAAACAAAAAAUAACUCUUUGCAAUGGAUAUUUUGGUUCUC